GAUGAACGCUGGCGGCGUGCCUAAUACAUGCAAGUCGAGCGAACAGACGAGGAGCUUGCUCCUCUGACGUUAGCGGCGGACGGGUGAGUAACACGUGGAUAACCUACCUAUAAGACUGGGAUAACUUCGGGAAACCGGAGCUAAUACCGGAUAAUAUAUUGAACCGCAUGGUUCAAUAGUGAAAGACGGUUUUGCUGUCACUUAUAGAUGGAUCCGCGCCGCAUUAGCUAGUUGGUAUGGUAACGGCUUACCAAGGCGACGAUGCGUAGCCGACCUGAGAGGGUGAUCGGCCACACUGGAACUGAGACACGGUCCAGACUCCUACGGGAGGCAGCAGUAGGGAAUCUUCCGCAAUGGGCGAAAGCCUGACGGAGCAACGCCGCGUGAGUGAUGAAGGUCUUCGGAUCGUAAAACUCUGUUAUUAGGGAAGAACAAAUGUGUAAGUAACUAUGCACGUCUUGACGGUACCUAAUCAGAAAGCCACGGCUAACUACGUG
rnacentral:rRNA from 1 species